GCUGGGUGUGGGGUCACACACCUGUAAUCCCAGCGGCUCAGGAGGCUGAGGCAGGAGGAUCGGGAGUUCAAAGCCAGCCUCUGAAAUUUAGCAAGGCUGUAAGCAACCUAUUGAGACCCUGUCUCAA
rnacentral:sRNA from 1 species